AGUGAACGCUGGCGGUAGGCCUAACACAUGCAAGUCGAACGGCAGCACAGUAAGAGCUUGCUCUUACGGGUGGCGAGUGGCGGACGGGCGAGGUAUACAUCGGAAUCUACUUUUUCGUGGGGGAUAACGUAGGGAAACUUACGCUAAUACCGCAUACGACCUACGGGUGAAAGCAGGGGAUCUUCGGACCUUGCGCGAUUGAAUGAGCCGAUGUCGGAUUAGCUAGUUGGCGGGGUAACGGCCCACCAAGGCGACGAUCCGUAGCUGGUCUGAGAGGAUGAUGAGCCACACUGGAACUGAGACACGGUCCAGACUCCUACGGGAGGCAGCAGUGGGGAAUAUUGGACAAUGGGCGCAAGCCUGAUCCAGCCAUACCGCGUGGGUGAAGAAGGCCUUCGGGUUGUAAAGCCCUUUUGUUGGGAAAGAAAAGCAGCAGGUUAAUACCCCGCUGUUCUGACGGUACCCAAAGAAUAAGCACCGGCUAACUUCGUG
rnacentral:rRNA from 1 species